rnacentral:rRNA from 1 species
AGGAAAUUAAGUACGGAAGUUCCUGAUUUCACGCUGUCAAGAAAAGCCUCUAGGAAGAGUAGUACUGCCCGUACCGCAAACCGACACAGGUAGAUGAGGAGAGAAUCCUAAGGUGAGCGAGAGAACUCUCGUUAAGGAACUCGGCAAAAUGACCCCGUAACUUCGGGAGAAGGGGUGCUCUAUUAGGGUGCAAGCCCGAGAGAGCCGCAGUGAAUAGGCCCAGGCGACUGUUUAGCAAAAACACAGGUCUCUGCAAAACCGUAAGGUGACGUAUAGGGGCUGACGCCUGCCCGGUGCUGGAAGGUUAAGAGGAGUGCUUAGCUUCGGCGAAGGUACGAAUUGAAGCCCCAGUAAACGGCGGCCGUAACUAUAACGGUCCUAAGGUAGCGAAAUUCCUUGUCGGGUAAGUUCCGACCCGCACGAAAGGCGCAACGAUCUGGGCACUGUCUCAACGAGAGACUCGGUGAAAUUAUAGUACCUGUGAAGAUGCAGGUUACCCGCGACAGGAC